rnacentral:rRNA from 1 species
AUUGAACGCUGGCGGCAUGCUUUACACAUGCAACUCGAACGGCAGCGCGGGCUUCGGCCUGGCGGCGAGUGGCGAACGGGUGAGUAAUACAUCGGAACGUGCCCAGUAGUGGGGGAUAGCUCGGCGAAAGCCGGAUUAAUACCGCAUACGACCUGAGGGUGAAAGCGGGGGAUCUUCGGACCUCGCGCUAUUGGAGCGGCCGAUGGCAGAUUAGCUAGUUGGUGGGGUAAAGGCCUACCAAGGCGACGAUCUGUAGCUGGUCUGAGAGGACGACCAGCCACACUGGGACUGAGACACGGCCCAGACUCCUACGGGAGGCAGCAGUGGGGAAUUUUGGACAAUGGGCGAAAGCCUGAUCCAGCAAUGCCGCGUGUGUGAUGAAGGCCUUCGGGUUGUAAAGCACUUUCGGCGGGAACGAAAAGGACUGUGCCAAUACCACGGUUCGAUGACGGUACCCGCAGAAUAAGCACCGGCUAACUACGUG